rnacentral:rRNA from 1 species
UACGAAGGGGGCUAGCGUUGUUCGGAAUUACUGGGCGUAAAGCGCGCGUAGGCGGUGAUCUUUGUCAGAGGUGAAAUCCCGAGGCUCAACUUCGGAAUUGCCUUUGAAACGGGAUCGCUUGAGUCCGAGAGAGGAUGGCGGAAUUCCUAGUGUAGAGGUGAAAUUCGUAGAUAUUAGGAAGAACACCAGUGGCGAAGGCGACUUACUGGACACAUAUUGACGCUGAGGUGCGAAAGCGUGGGGAGCAAACAGG